rnacentral:misc_RNA from 1 species
AAGUCGUAACAAGGUUUCCGUAGGUGAACCUGCGGAAGGAUCAUUACCGAACAACCAAAUCCUCUGUGCCUCCUUGUAGCAGGCAGGAUCGGGGUUCCAAGAGCGGGGUCGCCUUCCAGCACCCCUUGGUCUCCAUGCUGCCACUACGUCCUCCUAUUUUACCAAACAAAACCCGUCUGUCGCAUGUUUGUGGCAUCCCCUUGUCGGGCUUGCCCUUUAAACAUAUCAAACAUAACUUUCAACAACGGAUCUCUUGGCUCUC